UACGUAGGGGGCGAGCGUUGUCCGGAAUCAUUGGGCGUAAAGCGCGUGUAGGCGGCCCGGUAAGUCCGCUGUGAAAGUCCAGGGCUCAACCCUGGGAUGCCGGUGGAUACUGUCGGGCUCGAGUCCGGAAGAGGCGAGUGGAAUUCCUGGUGUAGCGGUGAAAUGCGCAGAUAUCAGGAGGAACACCAACGGCGAAGGCAGCUCGCUGGGACGUGACUGACGCUGAGACGCGAAAGCGUGGGGAGCAAACAGG
rnacentral:rRNA from 1 species